GCGCCGGUCUAAGUCCCUUGGAACGGGGCGUCAUAGAGGGUGAGAAUCCCGUACGCGACCGGUGGCCGAGUCCAUGUGAAACCCCUUCGACGAGUCGAGUUGUUUGGGAAUGCAGCUCAAAAUGGGUGGUAAAUUUCAUCUAAAGCUAAAUACCGGCCAGAGACCGAUAGCGCACAAGUAGAGUGAUCGAAAGAUGAAAAGCACUUUGGAAAGAGAGUCAAACAGUACGUGAAAUUGUUGAAAGGGAAGCGCUUGCAACCAGACCUGCCCGCGGGUGAUCAACUGUCCUUCUGGGCGGUGCACUCGCCCGUGAUCAGGCCAGCAUCGGUUCGGGCGGCCGGAUAAAGGCCUUGGGAACGUAGCUCCUCUCGGGGAGUGUUAUAGCCCUCGGUGCAAUGCGGCCAGCCUGGACCGAGGACCGCGCUUCGGCUAGGAUGCUGGCGUAAUGGUUGUAAGCGGCCCGUCUUGAAACACGGACCAAGGAGUCUAACAUCUAUGCGAGUGUUUGGGUGUCAAACCCAUACGCGUAAUGAAAGUGAACGGAGGUGGGAACCCUUCACGGGGCGCACCAUCGACCGAUCCAGAUGUCUUCGGAUGGAUUUGAGUACGAGCAUAGCUGUUGGGACCCGAAAGAGAGUGAACUAUGCCUGAAUAGGGUGAAGCCAGAGGAAACUCUGGUGGAGGCUCGCAGCGGUUCUGACGUGCAAAUCGAUCGUCAAAUUUGGGCAUAGGGGCGAAAGACUAAUCGAACCAUC
rnacentral:rRNA from 1 species